CCGCUCCCUCAGGGGGGACACACCGCUCCCUCAGGGGGUACACACCGCUCCCUCCGGGGGGACACCGCUCCCCGCCCGGCCCCGCUCCCGAUGCCUCGCCUGGCUCCACCGUGUCCCUUGUGCAAGGGCGCCAUCUGGCGGGAGCGGCGGGCGGCGCCGCCGGGGCGCCUCUCCCUGCGCCGCGGAAUGCCCAGAGCCGGGCGGCCCACGGAAACUGGGAAGCCCUAGGGAGCCCCGGGCGGCCCACGGAAACUGGGGAGCCCCGGGGAGCGCCGGGCGGCCCACGGAAACUGGGGAGCCCCAGGGAGCCUCGGGCGGCCCACGGAAACUGGGGAGCCCUGGGGAGCCCCGCUGCCCCGGCUCCGCCGGCAGCACGGCCUUUGAGGCGUCCGACACUUUGAGGGCCAAAAGCGCAGGAAAGGCGCUAAAGGGGACUCGGCAGAGCGUCGCUGGAAGUGCCAGGGCUAAGGCAGGAGAAAAGUCUGGACUUGCCUGUUGUCUGUUUCCUGAGCACCCCAACCACCCAGGGCUCAGCAGCAGCACUGGAGAUAAAACUAAGAGACAAGAAAGCAGUGAUGUGCCUCGGAGGAGGCAGGAGGAAAGUUACCCUGGUCAAGAGUGCCAGAACACACAGAGUCCUGGAGCCAGAGGAGGAAGCAGCUGCUCCCCACCAUCAUGUGAAGAGAGGUUCAGUGAUAAAUGACUGAGCAUGACAGACAAGACAUAGUUUGUGUUAUAGCAGGUCUCUUGCAAGAAAUCAGAAUUCUGCAGGAACACAGAGAACUGAGUUUUGCUUCUGUGUCUAGGGCUGUGAAAGAGCCACAAGUUUUGCCAAGGCAAGGCUUUCAAUGCAACAUGUGACACACCACAGAACCACCAAGCAGAACAAAGAGGAUUUGCAGAAUGGAAACAACCAGCAGCUCUGCAGCAGCAGAGAUGCAAAGGGGAACUUAUCUCAACAUCUCCCUGCAAAAGCUCUCUUUUUUGCAAGCCCAAGGACCGUUAAUGCCAUAUUUAAAUGCUGUAAAAUUGUUUAAAGCAUUUCUCAGGAUCCUCUGGGAUUAUAUUUCAUCUGCUUGCUUUAUAUCACAGCACAGAAAAGCAACUGGAUUGGAAUGGAGGAAGAAAAACAAAACAAAAAAACAUCUAGUUGCAUUUUCUAAUGGUGAGGAGUAAUGCUAUUCUAUAUCUUUCUUCUUACUUGUAUUGCUCAGUGAAAAGAUGCAAUUAUAAGCAAAGUGUAUCCCCAAAGCAAACUGGACUUAUGCGCUGCAGGACGUGAGUUUCCCAGCUUUGCAGCCAAGAUGUGGGACUGACAGGUGAGGGGGUUUUAACACUACUGGAUCACAUUGCUCCCUCCAUCACUAUUACAGUCACUCAGUGAAAAUUAGCCAGCAGAACCAACAGUCAUCUCUCACCAUGGUAUCAUUUCAAAUAGAAAAAGUCCUGGUGCAGAUGUACACUGCAAAUUAUUCCAAAGAGUAAAUAAAACAAGAUUAUCAUUCUUUUUCUAAAGAAAG
rnacentral:lncRNA from 1 species